UUAACCAACCUUACACUCAUGACAAAUGUGUGAUUAACUAGGGUUUAACCUUUUUUUCAAAUAAGCCUAAAGGAAAAAGAAAAGAAAAAAAAACUCAUACUAAAUGCAGACUGCAGAGAAGAAGAAUUUUAUGGGUUUAUACCCUAUUUAAGUUAACAUAAAAAUAUCAAGGAGACUAUAUACUAAUAUGUCAGGGAAACAGAUAGCACAUGGCUGUAUAGAGAGAGCUAUUGGUAGCUAAAACCUUGUCAACAGUCACAACCCGGCAAAGAAUUUAUGAGCUUCGCGAUAUCGUUCCAAAACAACAUUAAAGAGAGGAUGGAUUGGUUCUAAGAGAUUGGAGUAAGGGCCCAUUACUACCUUAGGCAGCGGUGGAGAAUCAGGGCGCUUCGACCAACUAUAUUGGCACAAUGAAAGCCCACUUAAACAGUAACAUGUGUGAUAGUGAUCCCUGCGUUUACCCGGUUUGUCCCUUAGUCCACCGUCUUGCUCCUGCAUCAAUCAAGCACAGAUUAAUGUUGAGUGAGGGGCAAAAAGAAUCAAAGCAUUUAUAAUGAAAUGCAAGAUAGAUAUCCUAACUUCCCAAGAGUUAGUCAAAACUCUAAAAGCAUCAUUCCAAAGUGAUAUGGUCACUAAAUUUUUAUACAAAUGAAGUAAUGCAAAUUCAACAAAUUGAAGCUAGAAUGCAAGCACAUAGAUAGUAUGCAAUCAAAUGUCAGAAAAACGAGCAUGGUUUUAACCUAAAAAUAAAGGGAAAAACUAUCAAAAGGUUAAGCUUUGUUUUUCAAUUGUCAGAAAGUGCAAUCAUCUGAGUCAACCUUUCUUUAGUUGACAAGUCAAAUGAUUCAAUUAAUAUUUUGAUACUGUUAGUUUUUACAGUUACAGAAAAUUUAAAAAUCUACCUCUUAUCCA